rnacentral:rRNA from 1 species
UACGUAGGUGUCAAACGUUGUCCGGAUUUAUUGGGCGUAAAGCGCCCGCAGGCGGCUCUGCAAGUUCUAAGUGAAAUCUCCCGGCUCAACUGGGAGGGGUCUUGGAAAACUGCAGGGCUUGAGGCAGGGAGAGGGAUGCGGAAUUCCAGGUGUAGCGGUGGAAUGCGUAGAUAUCUGGAGGAACACCAGUGGCGAAGGCGGCAUCCUGGCCCUGUCCUGACGCUGAGGGGCGAAAGCGUGGGGAGCAAACCGG